AGCAUUUCUUUUCGGAGAAGAUGGCGACCGGCGCACGGGUGCGUAACGCGUAUGCAACCUACCCUUAACUGUAGGAUAGCCCGGAGAAAUCCGGAUUAAUACUACAUGGUACUAUAAUAUGGCAUCAUAUAAUAGUUAAAGAUUUAUUGGUCAAGGAUGGGCAUGCGUGACAUUAGCUAGUUGGUACGGUAAUGGCGUACCAAGGCAACGAUGUCUAGGGGUUCUGAGAGGAAGAUCCCCCACACUGGUACUGAGACACGGACCAGACUCCUACGGGAGGCAGCAGUGAGGAAUAUUGGUCAAUGGGCGAGAGCCUGAACCAGCCAUGCCGCGUGCAGGAAGACGGCCUUCUGGGUUGUAAACUGCUUUUAUACGGGAGCAAAAGGGUCCUGCGGGACACAUUGAGAGUAUCGUAUGAAUAAGCACCGGCUAACUCCGUGCCAGCAGCCGCGGUAAUACGGAGGGUGCAAGCGUUGUCCGG
rnacentral:rRNA from 1 species